AUUGAACGCUAGCGGGAUGCCUUACACAUGCAAGUCGAACGGCAGCACGGACUUCGGUCUGGUGGCGAGUGGCGAACGGGUGAGUAAUGUAUCGGAACGUGCCUAGUAGCGGGGGAUAACUACGCGAAAGCGUAGCUAAUACCGCAUACGCCCUACGGGGGGAAGCAGGGGAUCGCAAGACCUUGCACUAUUAGAGCGGCCGAUAUCGGAUUAGCUAGUUGGUGGGGUAACGGCUCACCAAGGCGACGAUCCGUAGCUGGUUUGAGAGGACGACCAGCCACACUGGGACUGAGACACGGCCCAGACUCCUACGGGAGGCAGCAGUGGGGAAUUUUGGACAAUGGGGGAAACCCUGAUCCAGCCAUCCCGCGUGUGCGAUGAAGGCCUUCGGGUUGUAAAGCACUUUUGGCAGGAAAGAAACGUCAUGGGUUAAUACCCCGUGAAACUGACGGUACCUGCAGAAUAAGCACCGGCUAACUACGUGCCAGCAGCCGCGGUAAUACGUAGGGUGCAAGCGUUAAUCGGAAUUACUGGGCGUAAAGCGUGCGCAGGCGGUUCGGAAAGAAAGAUGUGAAAUCCCAGAGCUUAACUUUGGAACUGCAUUUUUAACUACCGAGCUAGAGUGUGUCAGAGGGAGGUGAAAUUCCGCGUGUAGCAGUGAAAUGCGUAGAUAUGCGGAGGAACACCGAUGGCGAAGGCAGCCUCCUGGGAUAACACUGACGCUCAUGCACGAAAGCGUGGGGAGCAAACAGG
rnacentral:rRNA from 1 species